rnacentral:rRNA from 1 species
UACGGAGGGUGCUAGCGUUGUUCGGAUUUACUGGGCGUAAAGGGCGCGUAGGCGGCCACCGCAAGUCGACUGUGAAAUCUCCGGGCUUAACCCGGAAAGGUCAGCCGAUACUGCGGGGCUAGAGUGCAGAAGGGGCAACUGGAAUUCUCGGUGUAGCGGUGAAAUGCGUAGAUAUCGAGAGGAACACCUGCGGCGAAGGCGGGUUGCUGGGCUGACACUGACGCUGAUGCGCGAAAGCUAGGGGAGCGAACAGG